AGUGAACGCUGGCGGUAGGCCUAACACAUGCAAGUCGAACGGCAGCACAGUAAGAGCUUGCUCUUACGGGUGGCGAGUGGCGGACGGGUGAGGAAUACAUCGGAAUCUACUUUUUCGUGGGGGAUAACGUAGGGAAACUUACGCUAAUACCGCAUACGACCUACGGGUGAAAGCAGGGGAUCUUCGGACCUUGCGCGAUUGAAUGAGCCGAUGUCGGAUUAGCUAGUUGGCGGGGUAAAGGCCCACCAAGGCGACGAUCCGUAGCUGGUCUGAGAGGAUGAUCAGCCACACUGGAACUGAGACACGGUCCAGACUCCUACGGGAGGCAGCAGUGGGGAAUAUUGGACAAUGGGAGCAAGCCUGAUCCAGCCAUACCGCGUGGGUGAAGAAGGCCUUAGGGUUGUAAAGCCCUUUUGUUGGGAAAGAAAAGCAGCAGGUUAAUACCCCGCUGUUCUGACGGUACCCAAAGAAUAAGCACCGGCUAACUUCGUG
rnacentral:rRNA from 1 species